rnacentral:rRNA from 1 species
GAUGAACGCUGGCGGCGUGCCUAAUACAUGCAAGUCGAGCGAACAGACGAGGAGCUUGCUCCUCUGACGUUAGCGGCGGACGGGUGAGUAACACGUGGAUAACCUACCUAUAAGACUGGGAUAACUUCGGGAAACCGGAGCUAAUACCGGAUAAUAUAUUGAACCGCAUGGUUCAAUAGUGAAAGACGGUUUUGCUGUCACUUAUAGAUGGAUCCGCGCCGCAUUAGCUAGUUGGUAAGGUAACGGCUUACCAAGGCAACGAUGCGUAGCCGACCUGAGAGGGUGAUCGGCCACACUGGAAAUGAGACACGGUCCAGACUCCUACGGGAGGCAGCAGUAGGGAAUCUUCCGCAAUGGGCGAAAGCCGGACGGAGCAACGCCGCGUGAGUGAUGAAGGUCUUCGGAUCGUAAAACACUGUUAUUAGGGAAGAACAAAUGUGUAAGUAACUAUGCACGUCUUGACGGUACCUAAUCAGAAAGCCACGGCUAACUACGUG